GACGAACGCUGGCGGCGUGCCUAAUACAUGCAAGUAGAACGCUGAAGGAGGAGCUUGCUUCUCUGGAUGAGUUGCGAACGGGUGAGUAACGCGUAGGUAACCUGCCUGGUAGCGGGGGAUAACUAUUGGAAACGAUAGCUAAUACCGCAUAAUAGUAGAUGUUGCAUGACAUUUGCUUAAAAGGUGCAAUUGCAUCACUACCAGAUGGACCUGCGUUGUAUUAGCUAGUUGGUGGGGUAACGGCUCACCAAGGCGACGAUACAUAGCCGACCUGAGAGGGGGGUCGGCCACACUGGGACUGAGACACGGCCCAGACUCCUACGGGAAGCAGCAGUAGGGAAUCUUCGGCAAUGGACGGAAGUCUGACCGAGCAACGCCGCGGGAGGGAAGAAGGUUUUCGGAUCGUAAAGCUCUGUUGUAAGGGAAGAACGAGUGUGAGAGUGGAAAGUUCACACUGUGACGGUAUCUUACCAGAAAGGGACGGCUAACUACGUG
rnacentral:rRNA from 1 species